ensembl:lncRNA
CACACACAUAUGCUCCAGCCCUGGGUCUGAUACCGUGUCAAUAAUGCAGUAGAAGAUGCCCCUUCACGCCUCACGUGGCAGACCAACCAAGGAGGAGGUGCAGAGUUGAAUCUGAGGAGACAACACUGAUGCUGUACAGUGCAUCAUCUGCUGUUUCAUUCCCUGGCCUGCUGUGAAUUAAGGAUGGAGAGAAACAAAAAAAUGAAGAUUGCAAGCUAUCAACCAGAUGUCCAAGUCAAGAUAGUGACGCAGCAGCAACAAUCACAACCCAAUUCUGAUGGACUGAGAGCUGUGGCCUCGGCCCAUGAGGAGUUGUCGCUCUGACAACAGGCAGGGAAAGGUUGAUGACAGCCCCGUCUUCCAUCACAUAUCCACCCACUUCAUCCACAAUUCUGUCAAAAGCAUCCGCAGCCUGACUUAGAGGGAAAACCCUUCUUUAAAAGAUGUCCAGGAAGUAUAGAUACAGGGAC